rnacentral:rRNA from 1 species
GACGAACGCUGGCGGCGUGCCUAAUACAUGCAAGUAGAACGCUGAAGGAGGAGCUUGCUUCUCUGGAUGAGUUGCGAACGGGUGAGUAACGCGUAGGUAACCUGCCUGGUAGCGGGGGAUAACUAUUGGAAACGAUAGCUAAUACCGCAUAAUAGCAGUUGUUGCAUGACAACUGUUUGAAAGGUGCAAUUGCACCACUACCAGAUGGACCUGCGUUGUAUUAGCUAGUCGGUGGGGUAACGGCUCACCAAGGCGACGAUACAUAGCCGACCUGAGAGGGUGAUCGGCCACACUGGGACUGAGACACGGCCCAGACUCCUACGGGAGGCAGCAGUAGGGAAUCUUCGGCAAUGGACGGAAGUCUGACCGAGCAACGCCGCGUGAGUGAAGAAGGUUGUCGGAUCGUAAAGCUCUGUUGUAAGAGAAGAACGAGUGUGAGAGUGGAAAGUUCACACUGUGACGGUAUCUUACCAGAAAGGGACGGCUAACUACGUG